UACGUAGGGGGCUAGCGUUGUCCGGAAUCAUUGGGCGUAAAGAGCGCGUAGGCGGUCCGGUAAGUCCGCUGUGAAAGUCGGGGGCUCAACCCUCGAAUGCCGGUGGAUACUGUCGGGCUAGAGUGCGGAAGAGGCGAGUGGAAUUCCUGGUGUAGCGGUGAAAUGCGCAGAUAUCAGGAGGAACACCGACGGCGAAGGCAGCUUACUGGGCCGAUACUGACGCUGAGGAGCGAAAGCGUGGGGAGCGAACAGG
rnacentral:rRNA from 1 species